rnacentral:tRNA from 1 species
UGGCAGAUAGCUUAAUUGGUAAAGCGUUCGAUUGUUAAUCGAGAGGAUGUUGGUUCAAAUCCGACUCUGCCAGCCA